rnacentral:rRNA from 1 species
UGGCGUCUUGCUAACGAACCAGAAAUUCGCGAGGUAGAUGAUAACCUCUUCGUCAUCCAGCUCUUUUAUUUGGGCGACUGGAACAUGGUCAUGCACCAGGGCCCGUGGAUCUACAGAAACCUCGUGGUUGCCAUCAAGGAAUAUGACGGCAAGGGGAAACCUAAUUCUGUCCCGCUGGAUAGAGUCCAUAUCUGGGCACAGAUUCAUGACACUCCCGAGCUUUAUAGGAAGGAACCAAUCAUGGAUAAGCUGGCUCGCCGUAUAGGACAAGUGAAGAGCAUAGAUAUGAAUCCUCCUCGUAAUUUUGAGGGCAAAUAUGUUAGGGUCUGA